CAGAAUGCCCUUACAAUUUGAUUUCCAUGACAGAUUAACCAAAAAUUUCAAUUGUUCUGUGAUUUUUACCGCUAAUUCUGUUGUUGGGGAAGAUGAUUGGUGCAGGACACAAGUCACAAGGAUUGUAUCACCUAUCUAGUCCAAAUCAGUCAGUUGCCUUCACUUUCGCUGCUUCAACUGAUCUUCUCCACAGUCAUUUGGGUCACCCAAG
rnacentral:misc_RNA from 1 species